AAGGGUUAAACACACAGGUGGCCGAAAGUCGUUUGUUAGGAUUUUGGAAGAAAAGCGUGAGACGACACCGAAUUUGGUUGCUUUCUAUAAAGAAGUGCAUUGGUCAAGAAAGAAAGGUAAAUUUAUCAAUGCAACAAGUGAACACAACUAUAAUCUGAUGGUUGAGAAGUUGAAUGAGAGGGAACCAAAUGAGAAUGAUGCUGAUGUUGAUGCUGCUGAAGAGGUUUUCAAAGAGGUUUUAGGGCAAAAAUCUGGCUAUGCACAAAGUUUGGGGCACGCAGUCAUUCCUGAACCAUCUCCUUCAAUGCGAAAAAAUAAGGAUUUUGUACGUCUAGCUAAGGAAAAUAAAAAG